UGCAAGUCGAACGAGAUCUUCGGAUCUAGUGGCGCACGGGUGAGUAACGCGUGGGAACCUACCUUUUAGUAUGGGAUAACGUUUGGAAACGAACGCUAAUACCGUAUACGCCCUCCGGGGGAAAGGUCAGCCGCUGAAAGAGGGGCCCGCGUCUGAUUAGCUUGUUGGUAGGGUAAUGGCCUACCAAGGCUACGAUCAGUAGCUGGUCUGAGAGGAUGAUCAGCCACACUGGGACUGAGACACGGCCCAGACUCCUACGGGAGGCAGCAGUGGGGAAUAUUGGACAAUGGAGGCAACUCUGAUCCAGCAAUGCCGCGUGUGUGAUGAAGGCCCUAGGGUUGUAAAGCACUUUCAACGGUGAAGAUGAUGACGGUAGCCGUA
rnacentral:rRNA from 1 species